GUUAAACCAUAUCUUUCUUGUACUUUUAACUUUUCAUCACCUCCAGAACAUCUGCUUUGUGGUCAGUGAACCUCUGUGUCUUAACCAUCUCCUGAUUCCAUUUUAAAACUGGGUUAUUCCCUGAUGAUAUGACUGUCAUAUAACCUUUCCACCCACACACCUGCCUCAGUAUCAGGGAUGGAACCCAGGGCCAUAUGCAUGCUAGGCAAGUGCUAUGCUAUUGAGGUACAUCUCAGCCCUAUAUAAUUCUUUAAAAAGGUGGGGUGUUGCUAAGUUGCUGGGGCUGGCCUCAAAUUUUCAAUCCCUCUGCCUCAGCCUCCCUGAGUAGCUAGAAUUACAGGAACGUACCACUACACCAGGCUGUGGUAUAACUUUGUGUGUGUGUGUUGUAUAACUUUUUAAAUGGAGGCUGUGUUCUCACCCUCGCCCUUUUCCUUUGUGCAUCAGCACCAGAAGUAGGGUUGGUGGCCUCCUUAUGACUUUCUUAUAAUCCUCUUGCCACAGCCUCCCUAGUAGACAUUGACCCUCUUGGAAAUCCUGUGAUCCCUCUUCUUAGAAGCUUUUGCCUCUAACUGUCCUCUCCCCCUUAUGAUUGGCAUUGUCCUAGGCAUCAAAGAGUUCACAUCCUUCCGGAUGUGGUGGCUCACGCUGUAAUCCUUCCCAGUGGUUCAGGAGGCUGAGGCAGGAGGAUCACGAGUUUAAAGCCAGCCUCAGCAAGAGUGAGGUGCUAAGCAAUUCAGUGAGACCCUGUCUCUAAAUAAAAUAUAGAAUAUGGCUGGGGAAGUGGUCGAGUGCCCCUGAGUUCAAUCCCUGGUACUAAAAAAUAAAUUAAAAAGAGUUCAAUCCUGGCUUAGUCUUUCUCCCUGCUGGGUCAGAGCAUCCCCGCCAUGAUGGAGCUUUUCAGCACUUUAUCCCUGGUUCCUUGAGAUCUUCAGCCUGAAUGUCCUUAUCUUCUAUUCCAUCUUGCUUUCUACACCCCUACUUGCUCCCCGAACCUUUGAUAUCACUAA
rnacentral:lncRNA from 1 species